CCUACGGGUGGCAGCAGUGAGGAAUAUUGGUCAAUGGCCGAGAGGCUGAACCAGCCAAGUCGCGUGAGGGAAGACGGCCCUACGGGUUGUAAACCUCUUUUGUCGGGGAGCAAAGCGAACCACGUGUGGUUCAUUGAGAGUACCCGAAGAAAAAGCAUCGGCUAACUCCGUGCCAGCAGCCGCGGUAAUACGGGGGAUGCGAGCGUUAUCCGGAUUUAUUGGGGUUAAGGGGUGCGCAGGCGGAGGUGCAAGUCAGCGGGAAAAUUUCGGGGCCAAACCCCGUACUGCCGUUGAAACUGCGUGCCUGGAGUGCGGGAGAAGCAUGCGGAAUGCGUGGUGUAGCGGUGAAAUGCAUAGAUAUCACGCGGAACACCGAUUGCGAAGGCAGCAUACCGGCGCGCAACUGACGCUCAUGCACGAAAGCGUGGGUAUCGAACAGGAUUAGAUACCCCUGUAGUC
rnacentral:rRNA from 1 species